rnacentral:tRNA from 2 species
GGGGGCAUGGUGAAAUUUGGUAAACACAGCAGACUUAAAAUCUGCCGACGAUAAGUCUUCCCGGUUCAAGUCCGGGUGUCCCCACCA